rnacentral:misc_RNA from 1 species
AUGAGACAACUAAAUAUUUUUUCCAUGAUCUACUGAUUGAUGGACUUAUUUGGUUGUGCUUCUUGUCCUCUCGUUCACUUAGACUGUGUUCGGUUGGAUGAAAUAUUAGAAUCCUUGGCAUCGAAUGUCUUGCAUGUUUUGGUUAACAUUGUAUGAUAUUAACGCUGUCUAGUUAAAAUUGAAUGCCAAACAGAAUGCCGAUCUCAUUCUCACAAAAUGAGAGGAUUC